UACAGAGGCCACGAGCGUUAGGCGGAAUCACUGGGCUUAAAGCGUGUGUAGGUGGAUCGGUAAGUACCUUGUGAAAUCCCACGACUCAAUCGUGGAACUGCUUGGUAUACUGCCAGUCUUGAGGCACUCAGGGGCAAGCGGAACAGAUGGUGGAGCGGUGAAAUGCGUAGAUAUCAUCUGGAACGCCAAUGGUGAAGACAGCUUGCUGGGGGUGUUCUGACACUGAGACACGAAAGCCCAGGGGAGCAAACGGG
rnacentral:rRNA from 1 species